AUGAUGAGGUUGUCGCAAAGGGCCUAUAGCUCAAUGGUUAGAGCAGGGGACUCAUCGAAAGGUGCCGCCGCUCCGUAAGGGGCGGACGGGAACGGGAUGAAUUCAGGGAAACCUCAGCGGUUCGGCCGGUGGUAACCCUGAGCCAAGCCGGCGGUACACCGCCGGAAGGUGCAGAGACUACCUGGGGGCUACAGUGCCCUUGAUCACAGGCUCGAGCGUCCCGCACCCCACCCGCGCAAGCGGAGGGUGAAGAGAUAGUCCGCGCCGGGGGGAAAUUCCCGG
rfam:Arenimonas malthae CC-JY-1 contig18, whole genome shotgun sequence.